rnacentral:rRNA from 1 species
ACGCUCGACACCUACGGGAGGCGGCAGUGAGGAAUAUUGGUCAAUGGGCGCUAGCCUGAACCAGCCAAGUAGCGUGAAGGAUGAAGGCUCUAUGGGUCGUAAACUUCUUUUAUAUAAGAAUAAAGUGCAGUAUGUAUACUGUUUUGUAUGUAUUAUAUGAAUAAGGAUCGGCUAACUCCGUGUCAGCAGCCGCGGUAAUCUGAGCGGGCUGGCAAGGC